rnacentral:lncRNA from 1 species
AUUCGAUAAAUGCAGUGUAUGUGUUUUCUAACCUUAAAAGCAAUUAUUAGUUUACCGCGAAUUUAGUUUAUCAUGUUUCCUGUGUAAGUGGAAUAGAUUUGCUAUAUCGUAAGGAAAUACAUCUAAAUCGAUAAUAUGAGAAACUUCAAAAGAAAAACCGAAAGGGGACGUAUACCGCUAGACACCUUUCGUAGUGCUGCAAAAGAAGUAUUGGAAAAUAAAAGAUCUCUUAGGACGGUUGCUGAACAAUAUGGUGAAAAUUUCAUGACCCUGUAGAGAUAUUGCAAAAAAAUUUAAAAUAAAGGUAAGUUUACUUUUACAGUUUGUUCAAACACCGUCAGGAUGAGAUUUUUUUAAUUUAUAGAGCUAAAUGAUCUGGAUCCUACGGUUGGCUAUACAAGGAACCGUCAAAUUUUAUCUGAUGCGAUGGAAGCUGAGCUAGAGAAGUACUUAAUAGAGUGUUCUAAAAUGUAUUUUGGUCUGUCAACCAAAGAAGUUCGAAGAUUGGGAUUUGAAUUGGCUAUUAAGAAUAACGCUGAAGUUCGUCAAGCUUGGCAUGAAAACUCAAUGGCCUCAGGAGACUGGUUAUCUGGAUUUCUUAAGCGUCAUCCAAAGCUAUCUUUGCGGACUCCCGAAGCAACCAGUCUGAGCAGAGCAACGAGCUUCAAUCGAGAAAAUGUAUACAGAUUUUUUGAUCUAUUUGAGGAAGUCAUGGAUAGGUACAAAUUUGAAUGCCAAGAUAUUUACAACGUAGAUGAGACGGGGAUUACUACGGUCCAAAAACCAGACAGAAUAAUAGCGAAUAAGGGUGUAAAACAAGUGGGGAGUGUGACUUCUGCCGAAAGAGGUGCUUUAGUUACAAUAGCCCUGGCUGUAAGUACUAGUGGAAAUACAGUUCAUCCAAUAUUUGUUUUCCCUAGAAAAAAUUAUAAAAGUUAUUUUGUUGCAAAUGGCCCAAGCGGAUGUAUUGGAACUGCAAACAAAUCAGGCUGGAUAAUCUAAGAGGACUUCGUCAAAUUGAAUGAUGAUCAUUAGCAUGGUUUUUGUCAGGGUAGAUCUACGGUGACUAACCUGUUGACUUACCAGUAUGAUUUGAUUGGUGCUUUUGAGAGGUCUGUACAGGUCGAUAGUGUGUACACAGACUUCUCGAAGGCCUUUGAUAGGGUUGGUCAUGAACAUCUGGUUCAGAAGUUUGGGGCUAUGGGCCUUGGUAGGACUUUGGUCGAGUUUUGUCACAGUUUUUUGACUGGUCGCACACAGUUGGUCAGGAUAAGUAAUUAUAUUUCUAAUGGUAUUGAAGUAUCUUCAGGCGUGCCUCAAGGUUCGCAUAUUGAACCGGUCUUUUUUAACUUGUUCAUAAGAGAUUUGAGUGAUGUAAUUGUUCAUUCAAAACAUCUUGCUUUUGCUGAUGAUUUUAAACUGUAUAAAGCCAUUGAGUCAUAUCUUGAUGCUGAGCUACUUCAAUUGGAUUUAAAUAGUGUUGCUGAGUGGUGUAAUAGCAAUAGUCUGGAAAUAAAUGUAAAGAAGUGUGUAUGUAUUUCGUUUGGUCGUUCUAAUAAAAUUAUUAAUUAUCAAUAAACAAUCAACAAUAACGAACUCAAGUCAGUUGAUACAGUUAAAGAUUUAGGUGUUCUUUUUGAUACCAAGCUAACUUUUUUGCCGCACAUUUUGGAUAUUAUUAACAGGAGUAUGCGUAGUCUUGGUUUUAUCACUAGAAAUAGUGUACAUCUUUCACCUUAUUGUUUCAAAUUACUUUAUUACUCUUUGGUACGUUCCUUGCUUAAGUAUGCGUCUGUAAUUUGGUCCCCUUAUUAUGAUUCUCAUAUUGAACACCUUGAGGCUGUACAAAGAAGAUUCUUAAGAUCCCUUGCUUAUAGAGCUGAAGUUAAUAUUUUUCGUAAUUAUUACAUCGACUAUAAUGCUAUCAGUGUCCAAUUUAAUAUCCCCAAUCUUGAAGUCAGACGGCAUUAUUCUGAUGCUUUAACGUUUUAUAAGAUCUUAAAUGGCUUAUAUCAUUGUCCUACCAUCUUGGAAGCAAUUCCUUUUAACACCUGUCAAAGAAGGAUUAACUCUUUUAUGUUUCGUUUACCCUUUCAUUCGGCCAACUAUGGGUUUUUUUCUCCACUGAUUAGGACUUUGCGUUUCUUUAAUGAAAAUAGUUUGGAUCCAUUUUCCGGCGGCUUACGGUCAUUCAAAUCAAAAAUAAAUAAUCAUACACUUUAACCUACGUUCCUUGGAUAGUGCUAAGUUUUUAGCCCUGUUGAUGACUGUUUUUUCAAAAGUUUUAUCUUGGUAUAUAUAUAUUUUUUUGUAAUUCUAGUAUUGUAUUUAUAUUGCUAUAUUGUCUAGUAUUUUGUAUUAUCUAUUUUGUUUUUGUAAACUGGCUCUGCCGUAUAUUGAAAUAAAUAAAUAAAUAAAUAAAUAAA